CCGGGAACUGCCUUUAAUACUGCUAGUCUUGAGUUCGAGAGAGGUAAGUGGAAUUCCCAGUGUAGAGGUGAAAUUCGUAGAUAUUUGGAGGAACACCAGUGGCGAAGGCGGCUUACUGGCUCGAUACUGACGCUGAGGUACGAAAGUGUGGGGAGCAAACAGGAUUAGAUACCCUGGUAGUCCACACCGUAAACGAUGAAUGCUAGACGUUGGGAAGAUUGCUUUUUGGUGUCCCACCUAACGGAUUAAACAUUCCCCCCGGGGAGUACCGUCCCAAAAGUAAAACUCAAAAGAAUUUACGG
rnacentral:rRNA from 1 species